UGCCAGCAGCCGCGGUAAUACGGAGGGUGCAAGCGUUAUCCGGAAUCACUGGGUUUAAAGGGUGCGUAGGCGGUCUUGUUAGUCAGUCGUGAAAUCGCUGGGCUCAACCCAUGCAAUUGCGAUUGAUACUGCAAGACUUGAAUUAGGUUAAGGCAGGCGGAAUGUGACAUGUAGCGGUGAAAUGCAUAGAUAUGUCAUAGAACACCGAUUGCGAAGGCAGCCUGCUGGGCCUUUAUUGACGCUGAGGCACGAAAGCGUGGGGAGCAAACAGGAUUAGAUA
rnacentral:rRNA from 1 species